GCGGCUGACUAUAGAUGCACUCGUACGAACCAUCCUGAAGAUUGAAGCUUGCUUCAUGAUUCAGACCUUGGUGAGUGGCGGACGGGUGAGUAACACGUGGGUAACCUGCCCUAAAGUGGGGGAUAACAUCUGGAAACAGGUGCUAAUACCGCAUAACAACAGUCUUCACAUGAUCACUGUUUAAAAGAUGGCUCUGCUAUCGCUUUUGGAUGGACCCGCGGGGUAUUAGCUAGUUGGUGAGGUAAAGGCUCACCAAGGCGAUGAUACGUAGCCGACCUGAGAGGGUAAUCGGCCACAUUGGGACUGAGACACGGCCCAAACUCCUACGGGAGGCAGCAGUAGGGAAUCUUCCACAAUGGGCGAAAGCCUGAUGGAGCAAUGCCGCGUGAGUGAAGAAGGUUUUCGGAUCGUAAAACUCUGUUGUUGAAGAAGAACAUGCGUGAGAGUAACUGUUCACGUACUGACGGUAUUCAACCAGAAAGCCACGGCUAACUACGUGCCAGCAGCCGCGGUAAUACGUAGGUGGCAAGCGUUGUCCGGAUUUAUUGGGCGUAAAGAGAAUGUAGGCGGUUUAUUAAGUUUGAAGUGAAAGCCCUCGGCUCAACCGAGGAAGUGCUUCGAAAACUGGUAAACUUGAGUGCAGAAGAGGAAAGUGGAACUCCAUGUGUAGCGGUGGAAUGCGUAGAUAUAUGGAAGAACACCAGUGGCGAAGGCGGCUUUCUGGUCUGUAACUGACGCUGAGAUUCGAAA
rnacentral:rRNA from 2 species